rnacentral:rRNA from 1 species
AGAUUGAACGCUGGCGGCAGGCCUAACACAUGCAAGUCGAGCGGUAGAGAGGUGCUUGCACCUCUUGAGAGCGGCGGACGGGUGAGUAAUGCCUAGGAAUCUGCCUAGUGGUGGGGGAUAACGUUCGGAAACGGACGCUAAUACCGCAUACGUCCUACGGGAGAAAGCGGGGGACCUUCGGGCCUCGCGCCAUUAGAUGAGCCUAGGUCGGAUUAGCUAGUUGGUGAGGUAAUGGCUCACCAAGGCGACGGUCCGUAACUGGUCUGAGAGGAUGAUCAGUCACACUGGAACUGAGACACGGUCCAAGACUCCUACGGGAGGCAGCAGUGGGGGAAUAUUGGACAAUGGGCGAAAGCCUGAUCCAGCCAUGCCGCGUGUGUGAAGAAGGUCUUCGGAUUGUAAAAGAC